AGAGUUUGAUCAUGGCUCAGGAUGAAUCCUUGCGGUAUGCCUAACACAUGCAAGUCGUACGAGAGUUUUUAACUCUAGUGGCGGACGGGUGAGUAACACGUGAGAAUUUGCCUUUAGGAGGGGGACAACAAUUGGAAACGAAUGCUAAUACCCCAUAUGCUUUCACGAGUAAAAUGGAUUUUAUUAUCUGCCUAAAGAGAAGCUCGCGGCUGAUUAGCUUGUUGGUAAGGUAAAAGCUUACCAAGGCGACGAUCAGUAUCUGGUUUGAGAGGACGAUCAGACACACUGGAACUGAGACACGGUCCAGACUCCUACGGGAGGCAGCAGUGGGGAAUUUUCCGCAAUGGGCGAAAGCCUGACGGAGCAACACCGCGUGAGGGAAGACUGCCUAUGGGUUGUAAACCUCUUUUUUCAGGGAGGAAUAAAAUGACGUGUACCUGAAGAAUAAGCAUCGGCUAACUCCGUGCCAGCAGCCGCGGUAAGACGGAGGAUGCAAGUGUUAUCCGGAAUCACUGGGCGUAAAGCGUCUGUAGGUGGUUUAAUAAGUCAACUGUUAAAUCUUGAGGCUCAACUUCAAAACUGCAGUCGAAACUAUUAGACUAGAGUAUAGUAGAGGUAAAGGGAAUUUCCAGUGGAGCGGUGAAAUGCGUAGAGAUUGGAAAGAACACCGAUGGCGAAAGCACUUUACUGGGCUAUUACU
rnacentral:rRNA from 1 species